rnacentral:rRNA from 1 species
GGCUAAUCCUGGUCGGACAUCAGGAGGUUAGUGCAAUGGCAUAAGCCAGCUUGACUGCGAGCGUGACGGCGCGAGCAGGUGCGAAAGCAGGUCAUAGUGAUCCGGUGGUUCUGAAUGGAAGGGCCAUCGCUCAACGGAUAAAAGGUACUCCGGGGAUAACAGGCUGAUACCGCCCAAGAGUUC